GAAAAAUACUAGGGUUCCUUACUAUAACCUACAUAUAUUUAUAGGCUGGUUAAGAUUUGUUUAGGAAGAAAAGAGAGCAGCAGCAGCUUUAAGACCGAUCAGGAUUGCCACUGAACCAUGCAGGGAUGAACUGCAGGGACACGUGUGUUUGCAAACCUGACCACCUGAUGCAUCUACAAGGGAAGAUUGCUAAGAUUGCUGGUACGGAUCAAUACUCAUGCCUGACACAUCAUCACAGUGAAGAACAUGCUCAUAAAAAAAAACUUAUGUGUAGGGGAGGGAAGUAAUUUUGUUUGAAGAACUUAAGAGUAAGUUGUAUAAAUUCACUGGAAGGUUACUUUUUUUCUAGAUAAGAAAUGAGUCCUUUCAAACAUGUAUAUUGUAUCCCCCGCUUUGUCUUUUAAGGUAGGCAGAUAUCUCCAUGCUAAGGAAAUACUGGUGUAACCGUUGUAGAAGCACUAAAACCUGAAAACUACAAACUUAUAGUAGUUUUUUAAGGAUUGUCAAAUUUACGUUGAUGGGAAAUGUAGUUGACAUAUUAAAGUUGUAGGGUCUUAAAUCUUACAAGCUUCGGUAUGUCUACUAUAUUUUCCAUCAACUCUUUGGUUGUAAGAUUUGACAAUAUCAGUUGGUAACUUUUUAGGGUCUGCUAAGAGUUUUAGUGUUCCUAAAUCAGUUGACUCCACUAAUUCCUAUAUUCAAGAAGAGUUUUAGAGUUUUAGUAUUUCUUCUCUUGAAAGUUCAUGUGGCCCAGUUUUUUGGAUCAACAACAGGGAAUUUUUUUCCUUUUUAA